rnacentral:rRNA from 1 species
UUUACGGAGAGUUUGAUCCUGGCUCAGGACGAACGCUGGCGGCGUGCUUAACACAUGCAAGUCGAACGAUGAAGGGGAGCUUGCUUCCUGGAUUAGUGGCGAACGGGUGAGUAACACGUGAGUAACCUGCCCUUGACUCUGGGAUAAGCGCUGGAAACGGCGUCUAAUACCGGAUACGACCUACCCCGGCAUCGGGUGUGGGUGGAAAGUUUUUCGGUCAAGGAUGGACUCGCGGCCUAUCAGCUUGUUGGUGAGGUAAUGGCUCACCAAGGCGACGACGGGUAGCCGGCCUGAGAGGGUGACCGGCCACACUGGGACUGAGACACGGCCCAGACUCCUACGGGAGGCAGCAGUGGGGAAUAUUGCACAAUGGGCGAAAGCCUGAUGCAGCAACGCCGCGUGAGGGAUGACGGCCUUCGGGUUGUAAACCUCUUUUAGUAGGGAAGAAGGACUUCGGUUUGACGGUACCUGCAGAAAAAGCACCGGCUAACUACGUGCCAGCAGCCGCGGUAAUACGUAGGGUGCAAGCGUUGUCCGGAAUUAUUGGGCGUAAAGAGCUCGUAGGCGGUUUGUCGCGUCUGCUGUGAAAACCCGAGGCUCAACCUCGGGCCUGCAGUGGGUACGGGCAGACUAGAGUGCGGUAGGGGAGAAUGGAAUUCCUGGUGUAGCGGUGGAAUGCGCAGAUAUCAGGAGGAACACCGAUGGCGAAGGCAGUUCUCUGGGCCGUAACUGACGCUGAGGAGCGAAAGCGUGGGGAGCGAACAGGAUUAGAUACCCUGGUAGUCCACGCCGUAAACGUUGGGCGCUAGAUGUGGGGACCUUUCCACGGUUUCCGUGUCGCAGCUAACGCAUUAAGCGCCCCGCCUGGGGAGUACGGCCGCAAGGCUAAAACUCAAAGGAAUUGACGGGGGCCCGCACAAGCGGCGGAGCAUGCGGAUUAAUUCGAUGCAACGCGAAGAACCUUACCAAGGCUUGACAUAUACGAGAACGGGCCAGAAAUGGUCAACUCUUUGGACACUCGUAAACAGGUGGUGCAUGGUUGUCGUCAGCUCGUGUCGUGAGAUGUUGGGUUAAGUCCCGCAACGAGCGCAACCCUCGUUCUAUGUUGCCAGCACGUUAUGGUGGGAACUCAUAGGAGACUGCCGGGGUCAACUCGGAGGAAGGUGGGGAUGACGUCAAAUCAUCAUGCCCCUUAUGUCUUGGGCUUCACGCAUGCUACAAUGGCCGGUACAAAGGGCUGCGAUACCGUAAGGUGGAGCGAAUCCCAAAAAGCCGGUCUCAGUUCGGAUUGAGGUCUGCAACUCGACCUCAUGAAGUCGGAGUCGCUAGUAAUCGCAGAUCAGCAACGCUGCGGUGAAUACGUUCCCGGGCCUUGUACACACCGCCCGUCAAGUCAUGAAAGUCGGUAACACCCGAAGCCGGUGGCCUAACCUUUU